rnacentral:rRNA from 1 species
GCAGCCAUGCCGCGUGUGUGAGAAGGCCUUCGGGUUGUAAAGCUCUUUCGUCGUGAGGAAAGGGUGUGUAUUAAUACUGUAAAGCUGUGAUAUCUCCGAGCC